AUACUUACCUAGCAGGGGAGAUACCAUGAUCACAAAGGUGGUUUUCCCAGGGUGAGGCUUAUCCAUUGCACUUAGGGGGCGGGAGAGAUAGCUCAGUGGUUUGAGCAUUGGCUUGCUAAACCCAGGGUUGUGAGUUUAAUCCUUGAGAAGGCCACUUAGAGAUCUGCA
rnacentral:snRNA from 1 species